UACGAAGGGGGCUAGCGUUGCUCGGAAUUACUGGGCGUAAAGGGAGCGUAGGCGGACAGUUUAGUCAGAGGUGAAAGCCCAGGGCUCAACCCUGGAAUUGCCUUUGAUACUGAUUGUCUUGAGUAUGGGAGAGGUGUGUGGAACUCCGAGUGUAGCGGUGAAAUGCGCAGAUAUCAGGAGGAACACCAAUUGCGAAGGCAGCUCGCUGGGACGUUACUGACGCUGAGACGCGAAAGCGUGGGGAGCAAACAGG
rnacentral:rRNA from 1 species